UAACUCGCAAAGAAAGCCCUUUGAAGUUCCAAACUAGGGCUCUCGA
rnacentral:rRNA from 1 species